UUCAUUUCCCCCCUCUGUUUCAUUUUCAGUUUCCCUCUCAUCUAUCUCUCUCAGCGAUUUCGUCUCGCGUUUUCACACAAAAUAGUUUCACUCACAAAUUUUAUUUCAGAACCCUAGAAAUAGUUCAAGGUUUCCUUACUUCGAUCAAAAAGUUUUCAACUGUCCAACUGGAGUGGUAGGCGGUGAAGACGUGGUGGUGGAAGGUCGUUGAAGUGGUUGGGGUGUUCGGCCCUGAAGACGCGUUGGGCUCAUGACUUCGGUGUUAGAGUUGUUGGCUCUGACGGGCAUUGCAAGGGCGAGGGCGUUGGUCCUGUGAAAUAAUCUGGAUGAAGGAAAUAAUUUGGCAUUAACCUCUUUGUAUGCAUUGGACUCAACAAUUUCACAACGGAAAACAUAAUUAACUUGAGAAUAUGAGAAGCCUUCAUGGACAAAGCGGUUAUUGCUUAAUGAUAAAUUGUUGUGUUCCAAAAUCAGAUUGGAACUCUAUCUUUCUACUCGCAUGGAAGAGGCAAAUGAGUUGUGUCAAAACUAGAGAAUAAUGAGAACAAGUCACAUACUGCUUCAGCUAAGUUUAUCAUAUUUGUAAAUUUCCCUCAUGAUAUUGUCUCCGUUUAUCAUAUUUAGUUGAUUUUCUUUAGCAUAUUUUACUAUCAUGAGAAAACUGAUCUUAAUUCUGCUGUGUACAAAAGAAGAGGUACAAAUACUUUUACAUCUUAAUCUUUCUUCAUUACAGGAUGGUAGAAUAAGGAAUACAGGAGCUAUGCUAAUU